AACGCACAUUGCGCCCGCCAGCACUCUGGCGGGCAUGCCUGUCCGAGCGUCAUCUCAACCCUCGACCGCCCCCCGGGGCGUCGGCGUUGGGGGACGGCGCGCGCGCCAGCGCCCCGCCGCCCCCGAAAUCCAGUGGCGACCCCGCCGCGGCCUCCCCUGCGCAGUAGCAAACGCUCGCACCGGAGCCCGGCGAGGCCCUGCCGUGAAACCCCCAACCCAGCAAAGGUUGACCUCGGAUCAGGUAGGAAUACCCGCUGAACUUAA
rnacentral:misc_RNA from 1 species